AGGUAAUAGAUACCCAGGUAGUCCACGCUGUAAACGAUCAAUACUAGGUGUGCGGGGACUGACCCCCUGCGUGCCGGAGUUAAACACAAUAAGUAUUGCACCUGGGGAGUACGAUCGCAAGGUUGAAACUCAAAGGAAUUGACGGGGGGCCCGCACAAGCGGUGGAUUAUGUGGUUUAAAUUCGAAGCAACGCGAAGAACCUUACCAGGGCUUGACAUCCUACUAAUGAAGCAGAGAUGCAUUAAGUGCCCUUCGGGGAAAGUAGAGACAGGUGGUGCAUGGUUGUCGUCAGCUCGUGUCGUGAGAUGUUGGGUUAAGUCCCGCAACGAGCGCAACCCCGUAUUGUUAGUUGCUACGCAAGAGCACUCUAGCGAGACUGCCGUUGACAAAACGGAGGAAGGUGGGGUACGACGUCAAAUCAUCAUGCCCCUUAUGUCCUGGGCCACACACGUAAUACAAUGGCGGUCAACAGAGGGAUGCUAAGCCGUGAGGUGGAGCGAACCCCUAAAAGGCCGUCUCAGUUCGGAUUGCAGGCUGCAAC
rnacentral:rRNA from 1 species